UACAGAGGUCCCAAGCGUUGCUCGGAUUCACUGGGCGUAAAGGGUGCGUAGGCGGUUGGGUAAGUUUGACGUGAAAUCUCCGGGCCUAACCCGGAAACUGCGUUGAAUACUAUCCAGCUAGAGGAUUGGAAGGGAGACUGGAAUACUUGGUGUAGCAGUGAAAUGCGUAGAUAUCAAGUGGAACACCAGUGGCGAAGGCGAGUCUCUGGACAAUUCCUGACGCUGAGGCACGAAAGCCAGGGGAGCAAACGGG
rnacentral:rRNA from 1 species